UGAGUUUGAUUCUGGCUCAGAACGAACGCUGGCAGCGUGGAUUAGGCAUGCAAGUCGAACGGGAACCUACGGGUUCAAGUUUUCGAACGAGAACCUGUGGGGGAUAGUGGCGAAAGGGUGAGUAACGCGUGGGUAAUCUGCCUCUAAGUUGGGGAUAACGGUUGGAAACGGCCGAUAAUACCGAAUGUGGUCUCCCGAGGCAUCUCGGGGUGACUAAAGGUGGGGACCCUUCGGGGCCUGCCGCUUGGAGAGGAACCCGCGUACCAUCAGCUUGUUGGUGGGGUAACGGCCUACCAAGGCUUACGGUUAGCUGGUCUGAGAGGAUGGUCAGCCACACUGGGACUGAGACACUGCCCAGACUCCUACGGGAGGCUGCAGUCGAGGAUCAUUGUCAAUGCGCGAAAGCGUGAACAUGCGACGCUGCGUGGAGGAUGACGGCCUUCGGGUUGUAAACUCCUGUCAUUCGGGACAAAUUGUCCGGCCCCUAAUACGGGUUGGGCUUGAUGGUACCGGAAGAGGAAGCCACGGCUAACUCUGUGCCAGCAGCCGCGGUAAUACAGAGGUGGCGAGCGUUGUUCGGAUUUACUGGGCGUAAAGGGUGCGUAGGUGGCAACGUGUGUCGAGUGUGAAAGCCCACUGCCCAACAGUGGAAAUGCACUCGAAACUGCGUAGCUAGAGUACAGGAGGGGAGAGCGGAAUUCUUGGUGUAGCGGUGAAAUGCGUUGAUAUCAAGAAGAACACCGGUGGCGAAGGCGGCUCUCUGGAAUGUUACUGACACUGGUGCACGAAAGCUGGGGGAGCGAACAGGAUUAGAUACCCUGGUAGUCCCAGCCGUAAACGGUGCGCACUUGGUGUGGGAGGUAUUGACCCCUUCCGUGCCGGAGCUAACGCGUUAAGUGCGCCGCCUGGGGAGUACGGCCGCAAGGCUAAAACUCAAAGAAAUUGACGGGGGCCCGCACAAGCGGAGGAGCAUGUGGCUUAAUUCGAUGCAACGCGAAGAACCUUACCAGGGCUUGACAUGCAGCUGCAAGCCCCCCGAAAGGGGGGAAGCCUUCGAGGGUGCUGCACAGGUGCUGCAUGGCUGUCGUCAGUUCGUGCCGUGAGGUGUUGGGUUAAGUCCCGCAACGAACGCAACCCUUGUGUCUAGUUGCCACUUCGCCUUUGGCGGAAGCACUCUAGACAGACUGCCCGUACAAGCGGGAGGAAGGUGGGGACGACGUCAAGUCAGUAUGGCCCUUACGCCCUGGGCUGCACACGUGCUACAAUGGUCGGUACAGAGGGACGCAAUGCCGCGAGGUGGAGCAAAUCCCCAAAACCGGCCUCAGUUCGGAUUGGAGUCUGCAACUCGACUCCAUGAAGUCGGAUUCGCUAGUAACGGCGUAUCAGCUACGACGCCGUGAAUACGUUCCCGGGCCUUGUACACACCGCCCGUCACAUCAUGAAAGCCGUCUGCACCCGAAGUCACUGAGCCAACUUUUACGAGAGGCAGGUGCCGAAGGUGUGGGUGGUGAUUGGGAUGAAGUCGAAACAAGGUA
rnacentral:rRNA from 1 species